rnacentral:rRNA from 1 species
GAUGAACGCUGGCGGCGUGCCUAAUACAUGCAAGUCGAGCGAACAGACGAGGAGCUUGCUCCUCUGACGUUAGCGGCGGAAGGGUGAGUAACACGUGGAUAACCUACCUAUAAGACUGGGAUAACUUCGGGAAACCGGAGCUAAUUCCGGAUAAUAUAUUGAACCGCAUGGUUCAAUAGUGAAAGACGGUUUUGCUGUCACUUAUAGAUGGAUCCGCGCCGCAUUAGCUAGUUGGUAAGGUAACGGCUUACCAAGGCAACGAUGCGUAGCCGACCUGAGAGGGUGAUCGGCCACACUGGGACUGAGACACGGUCCAGACUCCUACGGGAGGCAGCAGUAGGGAAUCUUCCGCAAUGGGCGAAAGCCUGACGGAGCAACGCCGCGUGAGUGAUGAAGGUCUUCGGAUCGUAAAACUCUGUUAUUAGGGAAGAACAAAUGUGUAAGUAACUAUGCACGUCUUGACGGUACCUAAUCAGAAAGCCACGGCUAACUACGUG